ACGCACGCUGGCGGCGUGCCUCACCCCUGCCAGUUGCGCGCCGAACCAGGGCUUGCCCUGGGGCAAAGCAGCGAACGGGUGAGUAACACGUGGGUAACCUACCCCGAUAACCGGGACAACCCGAGGAAACUCGGGCUAAUACCGGAUGUGCUCACUGGACUUCGGUUCAGUGCGUAAAGGAAGCUUCGGCCUCCGUAUCGGGAGGGGCCCGCGGCCCAUUAGUUUGUUGGUGAGGUAACGGCUCACCAAGACCGCGAUGGGUAGCUGGUCUGAGAGGACGAUCAGCCACACUGGGACUGAGACACGGCCCAGACUCCUACGGGAGGCAGCAGUGGGGAAUCUUGCGCAAUGCGCGAAAGCGUGACGCAGCAACGCCGCGUGGGGGAAGAAGGCCUUCGGGUUGUAAACCCCUUUCAGGAGGGACGAAGGUUCGGCGGUGAAUAGCCGUCCGGACUGACGGUACCUCCACAAGAAGCCCCGGCUAACUACGUG
rnacentral:rRNA from 1 species